GUGCUCGCUUUGGCAGCACAGAUACUAAAAUUGGAACGAUUCAGAGAUUAGCGUGGCCCUGUGCAAGGCUGACAUGCAAAUUCAUGAAGUGUUCCAUAUUUUU